rnacentral:rRNA from 1 species
UCCCCUAGUAACUGCGAGUGAAGCGGGAAAAGCUCAAAUUUGAAAUCUGGUGGACCAUGGCCGUCCGAGUUGUAAUCUAGAGAAGUGUUACCCGCGCUGGACCGUGUACAAGUCUCCUGGAAUGGAGCGUCAUAGAGGGUGAGAAUCCCGUCUCUGACACGGACUCCCAGGGCUUUGUGGUAUGCUCUCAAAGAGUCGAGUUGUUUGGGAAUGCAGCUCAAAAUGGGUGGUAAAUUCCAUCUAAAGCUAAAUAUUGGCGAGAGACCGAUAGCGAACAAGUACCGUGAGGGAAAGAUGAAAAGAACUUUGGAAAGAGAGUUAAACAGUACGUGAAAUUGCUGAAAGGGAAACGCUUGAAGUCAGUCGCGUUGGCCAGGGAUCAGCCUCGCAUUUGCGUGGUGCACUUUCUGGUUGACGGGUCAGCAUCAAUUUUGGCCACUGGAAAAAGUCCUGAGGAAUGUGGCAGCUCCGGCUGUGUUAUAGCCUCUGGUCGCAUACAGUGGUUGGGAUUGAGGAACUCAGCACGCCGCAAGGCCGGGUUUCGACCACGUUCGUGCUUAGGAUGCUGGCAUAAUGGCUUUAAGCGACCCGUCUUGAAACACGGACCAAGGAGUCUAACAUGCCUGCGAGUGUUUGGGUGGAAAACCCGAGCGCGUAAUGAAAGUGAAAGUUGAGAUCCCUGUCGUGGGGAGCAUCGACGCCCGGACCAGAACUUUUGGGACGGAUCCGCGGUAGAGCAUGUAUGUUGGGACCCGAAAGAUGGUGAACUAUGCCUGAAUAGGGUGAAGCCAGAGGAAACUCUGGUGGAGGCUCGUAGCGAUUCUGACGUGCAAAUCGAUCGUCAAAUUUGGGUAUAGGGGCGAAAGACUAAUCGACC